GAUUAUGACGUACUUGUACUGAUUGAGAUUUUAACACGAAGUGAGUGGCGAACGGGUGAGUAACACGUGGGUAACCUGCCCAGAAGUAGGGGAUAACACCUGGAAACAGAUGCUAAUACCGUAUAACAGAGAAAACCGCAUGGUUUUCUUUUAAAAGAUGGCUCUGCUAUCACUUCUGGAUGGACCCGCGGCGUAUUAGCUAGUUGGUGAGGUAAAGGCUCACCAAGGCAGUGAUACGUAGCCGACCUGAGAGGGUAAUCGGCCACAUUGGGACUGAGACACGGCCCAGACUCCUACGGGAGGCAGCAGUAGGGAAUCUUCCACAAUGGACGCAAGUCUGAUGGAGCAACGCCGCGUGAGUGAAGAAGGGUUUCGGCUCGUAAAGCUCUGUUGUUAAAGAAGAACGUGGGUAAGAGUAACUGUUUACCCAGUGACGGUAUUUAACCAGAAAGCCACGGCUAACUACGUGCCAGCAGCCGCGGUAAUACGUAGGUGGCAAGCGUUAUCCGGAUUUAUUGGGCGUAAAGCGAGCGCAGGCGGUCUUUUAAGUCUAAUGUGAAAGCCUUCGGCUCAACCGAAGAAGUGCAUUGGAAACUGGGAGACUUGAGUGCAGAAGAGGACAGUGGAACUCUUGGGGUGAACGGGGGGGGAGGA
rnacentral:rRNA from 1 species